rnacentral:rRNA from 1 species
UACGUAGGGUGCAAGCGUUGUCCGGAAUUAUUGGGCGUAAAGAGCUCGUCGGCGGUCUGUCGCGUCGGAUGUGAAACCUCGGGGCUCAACCCCGAGCCUGCAUUCGAUACGGGCAGACUAGAGUUCGGUAGGGGAGACUGGAAUUCCUGGUGUAGCGGUGAAAUGCGCAGAUAUCAGGAGGAACACCGGUGGCGAAGGCGGGUCUCUGGGCCGAUACUGACGCUGAGGAGCGAAAGCGUGGGGAGCGAACAGG